UACGUAGGUGGCAAACGUUGUCCGGAUUUACUGGGCGUAAAGAGCUCGUAGGCGGUCUGUCACGUCGGCUGUGAAAACCCGAGGCUCAACCUCGGGCCUGCAGUCGAUACGGGCAAACUAGAGUACUGCAGGGGAGACUGGAAUUCCUGGUGUAGCGGUGAAAUGCGCAGAUAUCAGGAGGAACACCGGUGGCGAAGGCGGGUCUCUGGGCAGUAACUGACGCUGGAGGAGCGAAAGCGUGGGGAGCGAACAGG
rnacentral:rRNA from 1 species